rnacentral:rRNA from 1 species
GACGAACGCUGGCGGCGUGCUUAACACAUGCAAGUCGAACGGGAUUUAGUAGACAGAAGCCUCGGCUAAAGAUUACUAAUGAGAGUGGCGAACGGGUGAGUAACGCGUGAGCACCCUGCCUAUGACAGUGGGAUAGCCUCGGGAAACCGGGAUUAAUACCGCAUAAAAUCGUAGAAACACAUGUUUUAACGGUCAAAGAUUUAUCGGUCAUAGAUGGGCUCGCGUCUGAUUAGCUAGUUGGUGAGAUAACAGCCCACCAAGGCGACGAUCAGUAGCCGGUCUGAGAGGAUGAACGGCCACAUUGGAACUGAGACACGGUCCAAACUCCUACGGGAGGCAGCAGUGGGGAAUAUUGCACAAUGGGGGAAACCCUGAUGCAGCGACGCCGCGUGAACGAAGAAGGUAUUCGUAUCGUAAAGUUCUGUCCUAUGGGAAGAUAAUGACAGUACCAUAGAAGAAAGCUCCGGCUAAAUACGUG